UACGUAGGGGGCAAGCGUUAUCCGGAUUUACUGGGUGUAAAGGGGGCGCAGACGGCGAUGCAAGCCAGGAGUGAAAGCCCGGGGCCCAACCCCGGGACUGCUCUUGGAACUGCGUGGCUGGAGUGCAGGAGGGGCAGGCGGAAUUCCUGGUGUAGCGGUGAAAUGCGUAGAUAUCAGGAGGAACACCGGUGGCGAAGGCAGCCUGCUGGACUGCAACUGACGUUGAGGCCCGAAAGCGUGGGGAGCAAACAGG
rnacentral:rRNA from 1 species